UUGACGUUGGAUUACCAGUGAGCGGCGGACGGGUGAGUAACACGUGGGCAACCUGCCCUGAAGUGGGGGAUAACAUCUGGAAACAGGUGCUAAUACCGCAUAACAACGAAAACCACAUGGUUUUUCGUUUCAAAGAUGGUUUCGGCUAUCGCUUCAGGAUGGGCCCGCGGUGCAUUAGCUAGUUGGUAAGGUAACGGCUUACCAAGGCAAUGAUGCAUAGCCGAGUUGAGAGACUGAUCGGCCACAAUGGAACUGAGACACGGUCCAUACUCCUACGGGAGGCAGCAGUAGGGAAUCUUCCACAAUGGGCGCAAGCCUGAUGGAGCAACACCGCGUGAGUGAAGAAGGGUUUCGGCUCGUAAAGCUCUGUUGUUGGAGAAGAACGUGCGUGAGAGUAACUGUUCACGCAGUGACGGUAUCCAACCAGAAAGUCACGGCUAACUACGUGCCAGCAGCCGCGGUAAUACGUAGGUGGCAAGCGUUAUCCGGAUUUAUUGGGCGUAAAGCGAGCGCAGGCGGUUGCUUAGGUCUGAUGUGAAAGCCUUCGGCUUAACCGAAGAAGGGCAUCGGAAACCGGGCAACUUGAGUGCAGAAGAGGACAGUGGAACUCCAUGUGUAGCGGUGGAAUGCGUAGAUAUAUGGAAGAACACCAGUGGCGAAGGCGGCUGUCUGGUCUGCAACUGACGCUGAGGCUCGAAAGCAUGGGUAGCGAACAGGAUUAGAUACCCUGGGUAGUCCAUGCCGUAAACGAUGAGUGCUAGGUGUUGGAGGGUUUCCGCCCUUCAGUGCCGGAGCUAACGCAUUAAGCACUCCCGCCUGGGGAGUACGACCGC
rnacentral:rRNA from 1 species